rnacentral:rRNA from 1 species
UACGAAGGGGGCUAGCGUUACUCGGAAUCACUGGGCGUAAAGGGUGCGUAGGCGGGUCUUUAAGUCAGGGGUGAAAUCCUGGAGCUCAACUCCAGAACUGCCUUUGAUACUGAGGAUCUUGAGUUCGGGAGAGGUGAGUGGAACUGCGAGUGUAGAGGUGAAAUUCGUAGAUAUUCGCAAGAACACCAGUGGCGAAGGCGGCUCACUGGCCCGAUACUGACGCUGAUGCACGAAAGCGUGGGGAGCAAACAGG